GUCGACCCACCGGAACCGAUCUCCACUGCCCAAGCUGUGCUGCUGCUGCCUCGGAUAGAAGCGCAGGUUGAAAACUGCGGGAAAGAAACUCGCGAGCUGAAUGGCUCCAAGGUGAAGUAGUCGCACAUUUAAUGACCCCGCUUGCCUGGAUCCCACCCUAGGCUUAGUGAACUGAAGUAGGUGAAGUCCAUUUUACAGAUUGAGAUUGGGGGCCAUGUGAGAGUAUCCUUGAAUGGCCUUGAAGUAAUUGAUUAAACUGAAGGUAAUUUCCUAAAAUUUUUACCAAGGUACUAGGAUCCGGUCUCCCCCCAACCCCUUCUCUAUUUCUGGGUGUCCUGGAAUCAGAUCCACCUGACUAUGACAUGGGGUUUUAAAGGUGCAAACAGGGUAUUUUAAGGAUGUUCAUGCUAGAUCGUUAGAAUGUUUGAAUCUGGCCUGCGUGUUUGGACAAGUUCUUUGCUAGUAGGUCAUGUGCUGGUAGUCACCGUGUUUUAACUUGUACAUUGUUUCCCAUGAGUAAUUUUCCAUAAUCUUCAAUAAAGGCUUUUCCUAUGUCAAUUCCA